UCCUACGGGAGGCAGCAGUGAGGAAUAUUGGGCAAUGGAGGCAACUCUGACCCAGCCAUGCCGCGUGCAGGAAGACUGCCCUAUGGGUUGUAAACUGCUUUUAUACAGGAAGAAACACUGCUACGUGUAGCAGCUUGACGGUACUGUAAGAACAAGCACCGGCUAACUCCGUGCCAGCAGCCGCGGUAAU
rnacentral:rRNA from 1 species